rnacentral:rRNA from 1 species
GACGAACGCUGGCGGCGUGCCUAAUACAUGCAAGUCGAACGCUUCUUUCCUCCCGAGUGCUUGCACUCCAUUGGAAAGAGGAGUGGCGGACGGGUGAGUAACACGUGGGUAACCUACCCAUCAGAGGGGGAUAACACUUGGAAACAGGUGCUAAUACCGCAUAACAGUUUAUGCCGCAUGGCAUAAGAGUGAAAGGCGCUUUCGGGUGUCGUUGAUGGAUGGACCCGCGGUGCAUUAGCUAGUUGGUGAGGUAACGGCUCACCAAGGCCACGAUGCAAAGCCGACCUGAGAGGGUGAUCGGCCACACUGGGACUGAGACACGGCCCAGACUCCUACGGGAGGCAGCAGUAGGGAAUCUUCGGCAAUGGACGAAAGUCUGACCGAGCAACGCCGCGUGAGUGAAGAAGGUGUUCGGAUCGUAAAACUCUGUUGUUAGAGAAGAACAAGGACGUUAGUAACUGAACGUCCCCUGACGGUAUCUAACCAGAAAGCCACGGCUAACUACGUG